GAUGAACGCUGGCGGCGUGCCUAAUACAUGCAAGUCGAGCGAACGGACGAGAAGCUUGCUUCUCUGAUGUUAGCGGCGGACGGGUGAGUAACACGUGGAUAACCUACCUAUAAGACUGGGAUAACUUCGGGAAACCGGAGCUAAUACCGGAUAAUAUUUUGAACCGCAUGGUUCAAAAGUGAAAGACGGUCUUGCUGUCACUUAUAGAUGGAUCCGCGCUGCAUUAGCUAGUUGGUAAGGUAACGGCUUACCAAGGCAACGAUGCAUAGCCGACCUGAGAGGGGGGGCGCCAACAGGGGAACGGAGACCGGGCCCAGCCACCGCGGGGGGGAGCAGGUGGGGAUUCUUCGGGAAGGGGCGAAGGCCGGACGGAGCACCCCCGCGGGAGGAAGGAGGGUCUAGGGAUCGAAAACUUUUUUAAUGGGGAAAAAAAAUAGUUGAAAGAAUUUGUGCACAUUUGACGGUUCCUAAACAAAAAACCCCGGCUAACCACGGGC
rnacentral:rRNA from 1 species